GCGGGAAUAGCUCAGUUGGUAGAGCACGCCUUGCCAAGGUCGGGGUCGCGAGUUCGAGUCUCGUUUCCCGCUCCA
rnacentral:tRNA from 1 species